CCUACGGGAGGCAGCAGUCGAGAAUCAUUCACAAUGGGGGAAACCCUGAUGGUGCGACGCCGCGUGGGGGAAUGAAGGUCUUCGGAUUGUAAACCCCUGUCAUGUGGGAGCAAAUUAAAAAGAUAGUACCACAAGAGGAAGAGACGGCUAACUCUGUGCCAGCAGCCGCGGUAAUACAGAGGUCUCAAGCGUUGUUCGGAAUCACUGGGCGUAAGGCGUGCGUAGGCUGUUUCGUAAGUCGUGUGUGAAAGGCGCGGGCUCAACCCGCGGACGGCACAUGAUACUGCGAGACUAGAGUAAUGGAGGGGGAACCGGAAUUCGCGGUGUAGCAGUGAAAUGCGUAGAUAUCGAGAGGAACACUCGUGGCGAAGGCGGGUUCCUGGACAUUAACUGACGCUGAGGCACGAAGGCCAGGGGAGCGAAAGGGAUUAGAUACCCCUGUAGUC
rnacentral:rRNA from 1 species